AGACCCUUGCAGCAGCAAGCAUGUUGACGCCAUCUGGACCUAUGGGCCAAACUCACUGGGGCGACACCGCAUCGAACAAUGCAAAUCCAUCAGUUCAUUCAACUGAUGCACAAUUGAAGCAAGAGCUUGCUGCAGUAUUCAAGAAAAUUGGUGAUAAGCAAACAUGUACUAUUGGUCUUUAGGAGCUGUACAGGAUAACCCAGCUGUACCCAAAGGUUGAUAUAUUUGCUCAGCUUCAGAAUGCAAGUGAAGCAUUUAGAACGUACAUCAGGGAUGG